UACGUAGGGUCCGAGCGUUGUCCGGAAUUACUGGGCGUAAAGAGCUCGUAGGCGGUCUGUCGCGUCUGCUGUGAAAACUCAGGGCUUAACCCUGAGCUUGCAGUGGGUACGGGCAGACUAGAGUGCGGUAGGGGAGACUGGAAUUCCUGGUGUAGCGGUGAAAUGCGCAGAUAUCAGGAGGAACACCGGUGGCGAAGGCGGCGCUCUGGACCGAGACUGGACGGCUGAGGCGCGAAAGCGUGGGGAGCAAACAGG
rnacentral:rRNA from 1 species